UAACGCCCUAGAGCGCCGCCACCUGACCCGUCCUAUCAUCUUCCCCACGCAACGGACGACCAGAGGAGGUAGAGCCGACGUCUCCCUCAUUCACCUACAGCGACGACGAGCUGCGACGACACCAUCUCGCCGUACACGCUCCUGAUCUGGACGGCACCGCCGACCCCGUGGCCCUCCUCCCCUGGUUAUCGGAUCCAGCCGAGAUUCGUCAUGUCUGUUCAUCACCUUCUCGCGCCUCCCACACCGGCCUCCAUGGUUGUCCUCCUCUGCACUCAAACUCUGUCUAUAAGCUUCAUGUGCAUCAGCGGGUUUGAGCCGACGAUCUGGAUCAAGUAGGUCGCAGGAGCUUGCCGGCAACACCCGAUCUUUGUUCUUCUUUGAAGUUCGUCUGAGACGUUCUGGUGUAUCAAAUCCCUCUGAACAUCAAUACAUUGAGGUUGAAGCGCUGCCAAGAUAGUUGGCAUUCACGCUGGGGAGGAAUCAGAUCAGCUCAAUCAUCUCCAAUUAGUCUUCUUUCUUGCUAUCCAGGUCUUAAAUGAGCAGACAGUCUUUAAACAAAGGAUGGAUGGGAGUACACGGUUUGGACUCCGCUGCAGAAUGAAACAAUUUUGUGAUACAUAGUUUACAAUUUUCGGAACUUAACACAGGAAGGUUCCAGUUGCGCUUCCAAUAUACAAUUCUGAUUAGUAUUGUCUCAUGUUACUUCAUCAUCCCCUUUUGUUCUUAGACUUGGAGCGUUUAUUCCCACAGGCUGUAUAUACUGCUAUUGUGAACGUACCUAUUUUGUGAAAUUUUGGUUAAAUUUGGAAGGGUCUCUCUAUGCCACAUCUAGAUGUGAUAUAUUAUCUCACAUCUAAGCUGACAUCAUCCUGUAAUCUGUCCCCACUUGUUGACAAACAACCAGCGUGGUUGCUUCCGAUCACCCCCGCACAGUCGACGCUUGUUUGCUUGUGGCCUAUUUGUUUGUAUGUGGGCUUCCCACCUCUUCCAGUCCAACUACCCCCGCACGCUGGACCUUUUUGUGUUGGGCUUGUUUGUUUGUUUGUUUGUCUCACAUGAGAAAAGCAACAUGUGUGCACGGCCCUGGCCUUGUUAGUAGGAAAAAAACAGUAGCAAAAUUGAAGCUUAGGGUGGCUCAAGAAAAGUGCAAAAACCCAGGCAGGGUUUAGGCAGCUUUUCUGUUGCACUUUACACCUGCACACCAACUGUCCAGUGGCCACCCCACCCCACCCUCCCCACCCCCCGGCGACUCUUUCUUCCCAAAUCAGUACCAAUCCCCCAACCCACCCUCCUCUUCCCCAUGCAGCCGCCAUGGAUGAACUACAAGAUUGAGGACAACAGAGUAAAAAUUGGGAGGUUGGCUAGAGGAAGAAGACAAAGUUGGAGGAGGAAUCAUGUCGGACACUUGGCGUUCUUACCAGGGAAAUGAAGAUAACUAUACAUGAGACUACAUUGGAACUCAGCUCCCAGUACCCAGAAGUGAUGUUUGAACCAAGGCUUUUUCAAAUGGAAGACAGUGGACAGCAAUACCUGCACAUGAUUCCACCUUACUCGUUCACCACUCCAGUUUAUGAGUUUGCAACACCAUCGAAUGCUGCUCUGAGUCUUGCAUUGGCGUUGAAUGAAGUCUUCAGCAGGAACAUCUCAUACACAGAAAUGCUACUAGCUGCUGACUCCGAGGCUGCAUUUUUUGGUUCACCACAAUAAAUUGUUAUCCCGUUGGUGCUGAGGGGAGCGGCCUAUUGUUCAUUAUCUCUGAUAGUUUACGGACACGGACGGUGGCGACCAUCUUUCACUACCCGACAUCGCCUUGGCCAGCUGCAGAAACCUAGCACCGUUGCCGAUUCGUCUUGGUUCGUCUCUCUUCCUUGCACUUUGGUUUCAGUCAUAGGCUUCUUGUGAGGAUAUAUCUUGCUUGCAAGGAUGUUUGUUCUAGCCACCACGAACCAGAACUGGAGUGCAACCCUGUGCGUCGUCCCCUUUCUACUUAAGUGAGAUUGGUUCCCUUCGGGGUUGCCUUUUGCCAUUUGGAAAACUUGUGAUUCUGAACCUGUGACUCUGCUCUUCUCCUCUGCCCUGAAACUCUGAACCUGCUGCCCUCUUUCUUCUCUGUAUUCUACUCUCUGUUAUCUGAAUUCUGUAUCCUGUGAAGAUAGAAAUACCAAUUUGGUGGGUGUGGAUGCUGAUUCUGAACAUAACUGUAUCGAAUUACUCUGCUGCAUUGGUGCCUCAAGGUACUAUGAUUUCGGCUGAAAAGUAGAAUAAUGACUCUGCGGGACAUGUAUAUACAUCUCUGCCUGCCAUAAGUAAGCAUGCAAAUAAAUUUCGGUAAGCAGCAGCAGACAUAUUCUUUGAAUUUUGUACCUAAUUAAACGAACAAAAUUUGAGCCACUGUAUUCUUUCCUACAGUACCUAUAUGUUAUUGUGCUUAUUUGGUAGAUGUUUAUUAGGUAUUGCUAUAAAUAUGAUGCACUCGGUUAGAAGGUUCUCGAAAGAGUGGUAACUUAUUAUAAUGGCUUUGCUAAAGAGUUAAACAACACCGUGUUGGUUGAUGAGUUGAAUAACAUUAUAUUAUUUCAUGCAGCUCCAUUACUGCUGUCAAAGUUAUAUCGUAUUUAUCUCAUGGAAUAGUCUACAUCUCUAGAGCCUUAGCCUAUUUUCAAAUUUGUAAAGAUACAUGAUUCCAUUGUAAGAAGCACCCAUUUUAGAGACUUAAAUCACAACUUUUCUUUAAUUUGGUUAAGUGAAACUAAUGAUUAUCAUUUAGUAUGCCCUGUUACACACCAUGAUUGGAGCAUGGAGCUCACUGGAACUGCAUGAAAGCUGUAAUGCUAUUUUAUUUAUUGAAUUUACUUAUUUUGGUAAUGGCACCCUCUGAUGUUUAUUUUAGAUCAAACAUGUACAACUCAAUGCGCACACACAAAGGUAAGGCUCUUCAGAUCCUGUGGUAGCAGCAUGAUGUCUCCAAGGAGGGAUUUUUGAGUUCUUGUGAGGAUUUCUUGGCUCCAACACUGGGUGUGAGGAUCUCUGAGAUUGAAGAUAUGCGACCGCACACUAUGUGACAAUCGGUUUAGAAUGCCCUGCAUCCCUUGCUAAAUUAUUUGACAAACUAUAAACAUCUAAGUUACUUGUUCAUGUGUGCAUUUGAAUUUACAUAGUUGUUGUAAGUAGGGAGAGUGGACUAUUGCACUGUGGUGUCUCAACAAUAACUCAGUAUGGCAGGACCAUAGGAGAGCA